AAGAUAUGGGACUAACCAAAAAUAAGCUUCUAACUUAAAUUUUUAGCAGUGAAAAUCUGUUAAUAUCUUU
rnacentral:tRNA from 1 species